UCCCACUUUGUUUUUGAAACAGAGGGAAAAGGCAAAUCAAAACCAUGUAAUAGAUUUUCUAAUCACUUUAUUUAGGGAUAUACAAACAGUUGACAGACAUAAGUGACUUUUGACUAGGCUGAGGCUUUAAGACCAGUUUGUAAGCAGAUCUCUUAUGUGUCUUUGCAGAUCCUGGUUAUAGAGGCUAAUGCAUGAAUCUUGUAAGCUCCAGACAAAUCUUGCUUCACACUAGUGCUAAAAGGAUGGGAAGUCUUCUUCAAAGGAUCAGUUCAAAAGAGCAAGAGUUUUGAUGUAGCAAGUAAGCGAAUAGAAAGGCAUUUCCACAGUCCAUCCAGUUUGAAAGAAACACUUUCCAGAUUCAGUGGAACACAUUCUGGCAGGAAUGAAUUUCUGCACCUGCUACAAACUGGGACUUGGCUCUAGAUUUCAACAACUGUUUAGUUAUGAGCAAGGGACUGUAGAGGUGGAGUACUUUUCUACUUCAAAUUUAUUUGUAAUAGUUUAUUUAUGAAAUAAUACCCGUGGUAUAUUACAGUAACUAUUGGUUACUAUUCUCAGGUCAAUUGCUGUAUAGGUUACAUUUUUAGUCCAAUGCAUUUUGUUAUGUUUAAAUUGAUAAAACUUGUAAUUAUUGUUUAAUUACUUGUAAUUAUUGUUUGAUUACCUGUGCUGGAUGAAGCUGAAUUCUGAACCUUAUUCUUGCAGUGCUUUAUUCUCCAAUAAAUACUAAAGAGCCAGGUUCAUAUAUGAUAUGAGCAAAAGGAAAACCUAAUGUGCUUAAUCGCUCAGUAGUGACUGAGAAAACAGUCCAUGAUGGCAGUGGAUCAGAAGACAAAUCCUUAUACCCUGAACCCUCCAGCAAAAUGAAUGGAGACUUCCUUUGUUGUUGCAAAUGCUGGUGAGACCAGUAGAUAUGCAUGGUUUUGAAGCAAAAGAAUAGCACCCUUAUUGCUAUCUUUCCAAAAACCUGGCUAUCGCCCCUACAUUUUCACAUGGUCUUUUAGUAUUAAAAACGGCAUUGCCCUGACACUCAAUGGCUCUUACUUAGUAUGAGCCACACUCUUGGGACCUGCAAAGUGAAUACAUAUUCCAUGUAAAAUUGCCUAGCCUCCCUACCUCAUGCUCUGCUGUCUUUUAUCUCUUUGAAGCUGGUCUGUUCUGAUUUUAUAUUCAUUGCCCAGGACUUUGCCUAUCACUGCCUCCAAGUCUGCAUUCUAAACAUAUCAGUGACUUCAUCUUUCCUCACAUCCACUUUUCCUCAUUCACAGUCUCUUUUGCAAUCUACAUCUUUUAAUAGCUGAUCCCAUUUAUCCCAUUGCAACUCUCUCUGGGACUGAUUCUGUGCAGUGGCUUUUUAUUGUUCUCUUUCCUCAGAACCAUAGAAAUAUGAGAUGGAAAAGGCUGAUGAGGUCAUCUUGUCCAUUCCCCUUGCCAAUGUUGAAUUGUUUCCUACAGUCUAAUUUUAAAAUUACUCAUUCAGCUGGGCUUCCACCUCUUCUCUUAGAAGAUUAUUCCACAGUAUUAGGAUGUAUAUCACACCAUUAGGAAGUUUUUCCUGAUACUUAUCUUGAACUUUCCUUCCUGAGUUUUUGUUCCAUCAUUCAUAGCUACACCCCAUUUGAUCACUCCAAACAAUACACUUCACUCUUGUAGAAUAGACAUCCUUCAAAAUCCACCUAUUACUCCAUAAAAAAAAAAAAAAAAAAAAAAAAAAAAAUCAGUUAGGUAUCUUAGUUAUCUCCCCCUCCACACACAAUACUGUAGCAUGAUAUAUCUGAUUAUCUCUUUUCCCUUUUGCUGCACAAGGAAGGGACAGUCCCUCUCCAUUCCAGCUCAGUGCCAUGUACAGAUGAGAACUCAAGUAAUUUCUUCCCUGUCUGGUUAUAGUCACUGUUUCUCUUAUACUCUGGAGACAGGGAAGUUUCUCAUAUUUAUGUGGGUGCAAGGAAGUCUUUGUGGCCCAUAAGUCUCUUGCUGCAUGUAGUCCUGCUUUUGGAAGAUAUAUUUAUCUGUGUAGCUCAAGCACAGCACAGGCUCCAGAAGUUGUUAUAGUUGGAGUGGGAUAAAGUCUUUCUGUUCUAAUCCUCUUUCAUAAAAAUUCAUGCUGCCAUCAAAAUUCUGACAAUGUCAAUUAUUUCUACUUAUACCUUCCACUCAUCCAGACAAAAUGUUGAUGUCCUCUACCAAAAAUGUACUUUUCAGAAAAGGCUGAAUAGAGACAUACAUGCUGAUUUGAAUCAGAAACCCUUAGAAUCAUUUUGGAGAUCUCCUCUAAACAUGUCUUUUUUGAUGUACUUGAGCCUCUUUCACUCUUUUCAUACCCAAUUUUCAAGUGCUUUGAACCAGCACAUUUUAGAUGUGAUUUUCCUGAAGGAUUUUGUACCUCUUUGGAUAUUUAAAUGAGUGGCCACAGUAAAGUGAUCUCAGCCACUUGGGUUGAAGUUAUAUAAAAGUACAGUCCAUUAUUCAGAGACCUAGAAAAUGUUUUAAAGUUCUGGCUUCUGCAGUGGAAAAGGAGAACUUGGAAAUUUGGCCAUGAGCACCUUUGCCAAUUUGUUCCCCCAUUGUGUAUGCUGAGUCCUUCUGUUCAUGAACAGAUUGUGCAUGACAACCUGAGUUCACCUGCAUGUCUGCAUGUCAGCUUUUGUCAGCCUGGUACAGACUGAACCUAGCAUGGCCUUGGAGAGGUCAAUGCACAUCGUGCCUACAGCUGUAUAAAAAGGUGUCAGAAGAACUGAGGGCACAUGUUGGCAAAAACAAUCACCUGAUGUUCACUAGAAUUUGAGAACCUCUUGGGUUCUUCUAAGCAAAUAUUUUUGUGACAAGCUUUUCUUAACCAAUUCCAAAUCUGACAAUUAUCUUGGUAGGGUUGGCUCCACAGAGUCCUGUGGAGCAUCAGUGAUCUGGUCAGAAUAGAAAUAGAUGGGCCAUGAAUAGUUUCUGUAGGAGGGAAAUGAGAGGGAUGAUUUAGAUGAGCUCACCACUUAAGAAGCAUAUGGGCAGGCUGGAAAGUACAUAUGCAGCAUGGGCAUGGCUCACUGAGACACAAUUACAGCAGGAUAUAAGAUGUGGCAUGUGGAAGCAUAGUUAUACCAGAACUAAGAGGUAGUGGGGUUUCUCACCCUCCACAAAACGCUCAGCAGUUUGAAGUCACCACUCACUGCUCUGUUUGAGAUUCAUACAUGUGGCCUUAUGUGUAGUGCUCUGGCUCUGUUUUCUCAAUCACUUACUCUGCAGCUUGUGGAAGGUUGUUUUUGGCAGCUCUUCUCUUGCCCCUUUCCCUGCACUCUCCCUCUGGCUGUAUCUGUAAUUGUUCUUGCUCUCUCAGAGCACCUGGGGAGAGUGUGGAGGAAUCUGAUCUCUGAGCUGUGUACCCAGGUUGCUUGCUAUUCCUCUCUUUUCAAGUGCAAUUAUCCAAGCUCUGUGGUUUUUCUCUGCUUUGCUCUCUGUUAGUCAAGUAGCAGUGUGUUUAUUCUGUGCAAAGGAAGAGCAAGGCGCCCCUUCAGGGCUCUGAUUCCAGCCAUACAGAAAUGGCUGACAUGAUGUAGUCAUGUAGUCACUCAUUCACUCCUUACAAGCUUAGCUGCAUAAGUUGAUGAUCUUAUAGCAACACAGUAAGCUGCUAUACUGGGAGACCUUGCCUUUUAAAUAGUUGUUGCACUAUAUGUUAUUCAUUGUUAUCUGUCCAUUUUUUUUUUAAAUAUUAUUAUUAAUUAUUAGAGAACAAUGAAACAUUCUCCAUUGGUGUAGGGGGACCAUCGAGAAUACUAUUUCUGGAAAAAUGAUUUAUGUAUUAAAUCCAAGUGCCUUUAGCUAAUCCAUGAGAUGUAGAAAUUUUAAUGCAACGAUAAGCUCUUUGUAAGAUUGAGAAAAUCUUGCCUUUCCCUGAAGAAAAAUAAAUAAUAUCCUAGCAACAUUCACAACAAAAUUUC